rnacentral:rRNA from 1 species
UACGUAGGGGGCAAGCGUUGUCCGGAAUUAUUGGGCGUAAAGCGCGCGCAGGCGGCCGAUUAAGUCAAUCGUGAAAUCCCUCGGCUUAACCGGGGAACUGCGCUUGAUACUGGAUGGCUUGAGUUUGGGAGAGGGAUGCGGAAUUCCAGGUGUAGCGGUGAAAUGCGUAGAUAUCAGGAGGAACACCGGUGGCGAAGGCGGCUAUCUGGACAGAAACUGACGCUGAGGCGCGAAAGCUAGGGGAGCAAACAGG